rnacentral:lncRNA from 1 species
GGCAGGCUCAGCGCGGGCGCAGCGUUUCGGCCGCUCCCGCCCGCGCUUUGCGGUGGUGCCGGGCCCGCGGCGAGGGUGUGCAGGCAUGUGUAAUGCAGCAGAACGCUGGCCGCGUUUCUUGACUAAAUAGAUGUACCCUGGCUGUAUUUGGCAGAACUAACUGCCAGAGAGAGCUCUUUACGGGAAAAAUAAGUACCGGCCUCACCACUAAUGUUCUCAGGGUUACUAAUUACUAUUAAUUUUGUGCUCUUUUACAGGGAGCAGUCCAUCUGAGCAGCCCUGUCUACACGGCUCGGAGUUCAGGGUGGCCACUGUGGUCCCAGUUCUCCCAGGCUCGCUUCCCGGGACGUUCUCCCGGCGUGUGCUCACUGCCGGCUGAUGGAUGCCCUGGCACGAGCAGCGCCCAGGCGCCCGAUGCACGCGGCCACCGUCCCAGCAUGGCCCGGCCGCCGCAGUGUCUGCAGCCAGCGGCACGCAGAGCUGUGCCCGUCGGUCCAUCCGUCCACCGUUGACUCCCUGACCUCGAUGAGCAGCGUUUGCAACCCGGUUUCCAGCCACGUGAGGCAUCGCCGCUCCGCCGCCGGCUCGGCUCGGCUCGGCUCGGCGACACAGGCCGACGGGGAGGGCCCCGAGCCCCGUCUUGCAGCGGCCGCCUCGGAGGACGUGAACCCCGGCCGCUCCCAGGCGGGACCCCCGGGAUCCCCUUUCUUCGGAGAAGGUGCCUUUGCUGAUGGGCCCAGGGGAGAAAAAAUUACCUGUUCCGUGUGUGUGAGAGUUUUUUUUUUUUUUUACCUUUUAUUAUUUAAAUUGAUACGUUUCAUUACUAGGGAGAAAAAUAAAAUAUUCCUUUGAUACACAAAAUCAAAUUGAUAUUUAGCCUCUGCUUACUUUUUUAUGCAUGGCUCCUUUUUACCACAUGGUAGUGACAGAUUGUUUGAGCUGGAAGGAAAAGCCAUUCAAAGCUAAUUAAGCAGCCAUUCCAAGCAGUAUUUGCAAGCGGGAGGCUGAAAAGCAGAGGCAUUUGUCAGCGCUCCGACCCCGCGUGGCUUUGAUUGACAGCUCCCUCUCCGGAGUGGC